GUAAUACUGUAUAAUCCCUGCGGGGGAAAGAUUUAUCGCUAUUAGAUGAGCCUACGUUAGAUUAGCUAGUUGGUAAGGUAAUGGCUUACCAAGGCUAUGAUCUAUAGCUGGUCUGAGAGGACGAUCAGCCACACUGGAACUGAGAUACGGUCCAGACUCCUACGGGAGGCAGCAGUGGGGAAUAUUGGACAAUGGGCGAAAGCCUGAUCCAGCUAUGCCGCGUGAGUGAAGAAGGCCUUCGGGUUGUAAAACUCUUUCAAUAGGGAAGAUAAUGACGGUAC
rnacentral:rRNA from 2 species